rnacentral:misc_RNA from 1 species
UCUCCGUAGGUGAACCUGCGGAAGGAUCAUUAUUGUAUAACCGAGGUGCGAGGGCUGUCGCUGACCCGAAAGGUCGUGCACGCCCGAGUGCCCUCACACACAUCCAUCUCACCCCUAUGUGCACCACCGCGUGGGUCCCCCUUUGGCUUGUUCGGAGGGGGGCUUACGUUUUCACACAAACUUUGUAUGCAGUGUAGAAUGUAUUUUUUGUUUUUGCGAUCACGCAAUCAAUACAACUUUCAACAACGGAUCUCUUGGCUCUG